UACAGAGGUCUCAAGCGUUGUUCGGAUUCAUUGGGCGUAAAGCGCGCGCAGGCGGUUUCUUAAGUCUGAUGUGAAAGCCCACGGCUCAACCGUGGAGGGUCAUUGGAAACUGGGGAACUUGAGUGCAGAAGAGAAAAGCGGAAUUCCACGUGUAGCGGUGAAAUGCGUAGAGAUGUGGAGGAACACCAGUGGCGAAGGCGGCUUUUUGGUCUGUAACUGACGCUGAGGCGCGAAAGCGUGGGGAGCAAACAGG
rnacentral:rRNA from 1 species